rnacentral:rRNA from 1 species
GACGAACGCUGGCGGCGUGCCUAAUACAUGCAAGUAGAACGCUGAAGGAGGAGCUUGCUUCUCCGGAUGAGUUGCGAACGGGUGAGUAACGCGUAGGUAACCUGCCUGGUAGCGGGGGAUAACUAUUGGAAACGAUAGCUAAUACCGCAUAAGAGUAGAUGUUGCAUGACAUUUGCUUAAAAGGUGCAAUUGCAUCACUACCAGAUGGACCUGCGUUGUAUUAGCUAGUUGGUGGGGUAACGGCUCACCAAGGCGACGAUACAUAGCCGGCCUGAGAGGGUGAUCGGCCACACUGGGACUGAGACACGGCCCAGACUCCUACGGGAGGCAGCAGUAGGGAAUCUUCGGCAAUGGACGGAAGUCUGACCGAGCAACGCCGCGUGAGUGAAGAAGGUUUUCGGAUCGUAAAGCUCUGUUGUAAGAGAAGAACGAGUGUGAGAGUGGAAAGUUCACACUGUGACGGUAUCUUACCAGAAAGGGACGGCUAACUACGUGCCAGCAGCCGCGGUAAUACGUAGGUCCCGAGCGUUGUCCGGAUUUAUUGGGCGUAAAGCGAGCGCAGGCGGUUAGAUAAGUCUGAAGUUAAAGGCUGUGGCUUAACCAUAGUACGCUUUGGAAACUGUUUAACUUGAGUGCAAGAGGGGAGAGUGGAAUUCCAUGUGUAGCGGUGAAAUGCGUAGAUAUAUGGAGGAACACCGGUGGCGAAAGCGGCUCUCUGGCUUGUAACUGACGCUGAGGCUCGAAAGCGUGGGGAGCAAACAGG